rnacentral:rRNA from 1 species
CCUACGGGAGGCAGCAGUGGGGAAUAUUGGACAAUGGGCGAAAGCCUGAUCCAGCAAUGCCGCGUGAGUGAUGAAGGCCUUAGGGUUGUAAAGCUCUUUUACCCGGGAUGAUAAUGACAGUACCGGGAGAAUAAGCCCCGGCUAACUCCGUGCCAGCAGCCGCGGUAAUACGGAGGGGGCUAGCGUUGUUCGGAAUUACUGGGCGUAAAGCGCACGUAGGCGGCUUUGUAAGUUAGAGGUGAAAGCCCAGGGCUCAACCCUGGAAUUGCCUUUAA